rnacentral:sRNA from 1 species
UCGCGGCCUUUGGCUGUUUCGGCGCCGCG